CCAUGCUUGAAAUAACAUUAUUUAAAGUUGAGAGAUUCGCAUAGUUUUGUAACUUUUGUUCCUAUCAUACUGAAAUAACUGAAAUUUGACAGACGAAUCAGGUUCACAACAUCAAUCAAGUCGUAGAUCAUCAUCUUGUUUGUCAAACUUGAAGAAUAUGUCGACCAUUUUAGAGUAGUCUAAUUCAUUUCACUAACAUUCUCUAAUUUUAUCUUAAACAAUACAGUUUGUUAAACAAUAUGCAUUAUGGGGGUGAUUGGUUGGGCUGUAGGAAUAUAGUUUAAAAGGCCUUAAGCAUAUUAUGUUUCGUUAUUUUUAUUUUGAAUAAAAUGAACUAACAAAUGUAUGUAUCUCUAAAGAUGGAGAAUUCUCGUCACAAUAAACAGCUUGUGCUUAUUUCUUAAUAAAACACUAGAUUUGGAUCCGCACAAUUCAUGUUUAUAUAUAUUUUACAUAAUUAGAGUAUAUAUUUAAAGUUACUUAUAUAUUUAAAUGUUUAUAUAUAAGUAUUUUAAAUAUAACAAUUUGAUAGUUUUCAUGUUGUAAGUUAAUUGAUUAUUUCAAAUCAUCACAUAUAUUUGGUAUUUUUUAUUAUAUAUAAGUUAAAAUUAUUUUUUAUUCAAUUAUUAUGAUCAUGAUCCGUAAUUCAAAGUGCUAGAUUUCCUUUAUCAAUAUUUUUUUAUGUUUAUUCAUUUAAGAUAAUAACUAUAUAUAUAUAUAUAUAAGUUUAAGAUAAGUUAAUUUUAUACAUGAAUUAUCUAAUUUACUAGUAGUAACCUGUUCUACCAACAUAUUAAAUUUCUAGCAUACAUUUUUAAUGUUUGUGAAAAUAAAAUAUAUUAAUUUAUUAGUUUAAAAUAAUUUUAUCAUAUUUAGUUAUAUACAAUUUUUUAUUUUAAAAUGAUAGAUAUAACAAUAAAAUAGUAAAAUUUGAUGUAAUUUUUUCAUUUUAUAAAAGAUAACUGAGUAUAUAUAUAUUAAUGUAUAAUGUAUAAUAUAACUAAUAUAUAUUAAUGUAUAAUAAGAUUAAUUUCAUUACUAAUUACAAAAUUAGUGAAAAUAUUUAUAUACAAUUUUUGAUAAUUAAAAUAUUGUUAUAAUGUUUUUUUCAACACAUUUGUUAAGAAAAUAUAUAUAUAUAUAUAUAUUUUAAAUUAAAAGAUAUCAAAUUAUAUUAUGAUUUAAGUAGUUAAAAGAUUAUAUCUUAGCAUUAAGGAAAUACAUUUAACACAAAUUUUGAAUGAUGAUCCAAAUAAAAAUAUCACACAUGAAUCAAGGUGAGUUUGUUAACCAAUCCGGAUUUUUAGGAAUCAAUGUUAUAUUAGGAAUGAUAUAUUAUUAAUCCUUAUUAUUAGUAAUAAAUGAAUGAUAACUGGUUUCUAGUGAGAAUCCAUUUUUUUAAAAACACACAUGAAUCAAAGUUGUGACUUAUGCUUUAAUAUAUAAGAUUGUACCAUAACAACCAACCACAUAUUCAUAAAAGAAAAUAAUAUUAACAUAUAUGCUUUAAAAAUAGUACAUUGUAAUUCUAAAAGUGUAUUAAAUCUUUAUGCACCAAUAAAAAGAUCAACAUUCAAUGGGUCUGACGUAAUCCAGCCGAAUAUGAUCAUCGUACGCGCAAAAAAUAUAUACUCGCUAUCAAGAUUGGCAUCUGGGAUGGGGGAUCUUUGGUCCCGCAGUCGAGCAUUUAGGAUUAAUUAUUUUUGUAGGAUAAAUAUAUAUAUUCCUAAACAAAAAAAACUGGGCUCGAAGCCUGCUAUAAUACAGGCUGUAAAUUUAUUAUUCACAUAAUCAAUAUACAAACUCUAAACCGGUAUUUUCCUCAAUUAGUUUUUGUU